GAAAUAUGUAAUCAAAAUGAAACUUCUAAUUUCAAUUUUAAGCAGAAAUCUGUUUAUAUUUCU
rnacentral:tRNA from 1 species